ACGGAAGGCAGCAGUGGGGAAUAUUGCACAAUGGGCGCAAGCCUGAUGCAGCGACGCCGCGUGAGCGAAGAAGUAUUUCGGUAUGUAAAGCUCUAUCAGCAGGGAAGAAAAUGACGGUACCUGACUAAGAAGCCCCGGCUAACUACGUGCCAGCAGCCGCGGUAAUACGUAGGGGGCAAGCGUUAUCCGGAUUUACUGGGUGUAAAGGGAGCGUAGACGGCGCUGCAAGUCAGAUGUGAAAGGCUGGGGCUUAACCCCGGGACUGCAUUUGAAACUGCAGUGCUCGAGUGCCGGAGAGGUAAGCGGAAUUCCUAGUGUAGCGGUGAAAUGCGUAGAUAUUAGGAGGAACACCAGUGGCGAAGGCGGCUUACUGGACGGUAACUGACGUUGAGGCUCGAAAGCGUGGGGAGCAAACAGGAUUAGAUACCCUGGUA
rnacentral:rRNA from 1 species